CCCUUAGACGUUCUGGGCCGCACGCGCGCUACACUGACCAGUGCAACAAGCAUCCGUCCUUGGCCGACAGGCUCGGGCAAUCUUUGAACGCUGGUCGUGAUGGGGAUAGACUUUUGCAAUUUUUGGUCUUCAACGAGGAAUUCCUAGUAAACGCGAGUCAUCAACUUGCAUUGAUUACGUCCCUGCCCUUUGUACACACCGCCCGUCGCACCUACCGAUUGAAUGGUCCGGUGAAGCCUCCGGAUUGGCGCGCACCUCGGUGCCGCCGAGAAGUUGGCUAAACCUUACCAUUUAGAGGAAGGUGAANUCGUAACA
rnacentral:rRNA from 1 species